rnacentral:rRNA from 1 species
UACGUAGGGGGCUAGCGUUGUCCGGAAUCAUUGGGCGUAAAGAGCGCGUAGGCGGCCAGAUAAGUCCGGUGUGAAAGUCACAGGCUCAACCUGUGAAUGCCGCUGGAAACUGUCUGGCUAGAGUCCGGGAGGGGCGAGUGGAAUUCCUGGUGUAGCGGUGAAAUGCGCAGAUAUCAGGAGGAACACCGAUGGCGAAGGCAGGUCUCUGGCAUUAACUGACGCUGAGGAGCGAAAGCAUGGGGAGCGAACAGGA